GCCGAGGUCAGCCUUCCAAACUUUUUGGGCAUAGGCGAGUGCCUAGGUGGAUCUGGGGACCUAUGCAGCACUGACACUGAAGGCAUUGGCGAUUUCCUCGGCACAUUUCUACGG